GGAGCUCGGACGCGAGUUC
rnacentral:snRNA from 1 species